GAGAAAAAACUCUGUUCCUCCGUCCCUUCCCAACCUACUCUCGCUCCUUGCCGCCACCCUCGAUGCUAUAAUUGGCCACUGCCGCCUCUGAGAAGCCCACAGCCACAUCCUCAAUCUCAAACUUCACCACAAAAGCUUCUCCUCCUCCUCCUCCUCCUUCCCUUCCUCUGUUCUGCCCCUGCCCCACUCUUGAGAACUUCCUCAUCGCUGCCAUCGAUGUUGCUGCUGGCCCUCAUCGCCUCCAAGGGAUCCACAACUGCCUCCUUUGCAUUCAACUUCAUCAUGCCGCCCUCCUCCUUCACAUCACCUCCUCCUUCUCCACCGCUGCUCGCUCUCUCUACUCCUCCUUCACCUUCUUCGCCUCCUCAAGUGUUAUAGUGCCUCCUGCUCCCUCCCCAUGGCGGCCCAAAUUCGUGCCCAGCCCUCUCCACCAGCAACUGUGACGCCGAUCUCUUCAACCAGAAGACCACUAUCUUCAUGUGUGUCAAACACUCUGGCUUAGUAUCCACUUGCAAGAGUUGCAAGGAGGGAGAUCCAUGCAUGGGGUUCAGCUGCUUAUAUGCAACAAGACUGACUAUAUAUAUAUAUAUAUAUAUAUAUAUAUAUAUAUAUAUAUAUAUAUAUGCAAAGGUGUCGUGAAAAAAAAACCAAUCUCCUGCAGGCACAGGAAUUUCAGCUGCUACGACUGUAGCAACUUGAACACAAGAUGCUGACUUUGUGGGCACUUGAUCCAUUAUAUAUAACAAACCUUCCAGGCUCAAAACUUCAGAUUAAUUCAGAGUUUACAUAAAGAAACAUCAUAGGAUAUGCUGCAUGACACUAUUUAGUUCUCGCUCUCCUCAUCCAAGUUGCAAACACAUAGCGGAUCAUUGCUCGAGUAUGGCUCGCUCUCCAUCAGUCUACGGAAGUAUGAUCUCUUCAAACCAUUUCUUCGAGCCAUGUCGGAACGCACUCUAUCUGCAUACUUGGUUCGCGAACCUGCUAUCACAACUGCUGUCUCAUCUGUUACAAAGUUUGCCAGUGCCACCAUUGCAUCAGGUUCGGUGGCUGAAGAAGCAUCCACCAUGAAAAUAUGAGAGAAAUAGCCAGGGCUGAUGCCAUUGUCUCGAAGCCUGAAACAAGUCAUAAGAGUUGAAACUAUCACUCUGAACUUCUGGAGAACAGAGAGUGGAGGACUGGAGAAGCAUUCGCCAUCAUGCGAGCACAGCGGGAAGACAUCAUCUGGCACAUCUUCAACCUCCCGAAAACUAGCAUUGGCCCGAAACAGAUCCGAAUCUGGGAUUCUUUUGUUCAAGCAACUGAUGAGUGUAUCGCAGGUGUGGUUUUUAGGAGAGCACACCAAUAUGCGGCUGGUAUCCAUGUGGAAGUAAAUUUCGAGGAUUGCUUCUGUAAUGGUAGUGCCAGCUUUGGAGAGAGAAUUAUUCUGUGUUACAGAAGGUGGUCCAUUUAUGAGAUAAGGGGGAGGCCCUUUGAGCCGUAUAAUUUUGUGGAUUGCUGAGAUUUGAUGAACACCAAGGCGUUGAUUCAAAAAAGUUGCAGAUGGUAGAGAGAUCUCUGCGGUUCUUGGGUGGCAACUUGGGAAAAGCACAUGAUGAAACGAAGGAGCUAGUGCAGCUUCCACAGCCUGGUGAGAUCUCUUUAAACAGGUUCUAUUGAAGGAAAACUUAACAUCAUACUUGUAUGAUGGAGAAUACUGUAAGAGAAGAUCAUUUCCAAACUCGGUCAAUACGUGAGUACUCUUUACCACCCCAAUCACUCUUCCCUGGUUCAAAAGUAUGAAAAAUUAUGUCCUUCAAAGGAAUUUUACCUCAAGAAAAAAAAUGAAAUGACCCAAAAAGUUUGAUAUGCUUAUUUUUUUUAUUUUAUUUUACAGCUUGUUUGUCGAUAGAACAUAUCAGGAAUCUAAGACUUGGUUUUGCUUGUUCUAUAAUUUUCUUCUGUUGUCUUGCGGUGAGUAAUCUCCAACGCUCACCAAAAUGAUGGGAUGAAUUUAGUUAUAAUAAAAGAAUUGAGCAUAUGAUGUCAUUGCAUA